ACCAGACUCCUACGGGAGGCAGCAGUGAGGAAUAUUGGUCAAUGGGCGCAAGCCUGAACCAGCCAAGUCGCGUGAGGGAAGACGGCCCUACGGGUUGUAAACCUCUUUUGCCGGGGAGCAAGCCUGAGCACGUGUGCCCAGGCGGAGAGUACCCGGAGAAAAAGCAUCGGCUAACUACGUGCCAGCAGCCGCGGUAAUACGUAGGGGGCGAGCGUUAUCCGGAUUUACUGGGUGUAAAGGGAGCGUAGACGGUUCUGCAAGUCUGAAGUGAAAGCCCGUGGCUUAACCGCGGAACGGCUUUGGAAACUGUGGAACUGGAGUGCUGGAGAGGCAAGCGGAAUUCCUAGUGUAGCGGUGAAAUGCGUAGAUAUUAGGAGGAACACCAGUGGCGAAGGCGGCUUGCUGGACAGUAACUGACGUUGAGGCUCGAAAGCGUGGGGAGCAAACAGGAUUAGAUACCCUGGUAG
rnacentral:rRNA from 1 species